UGAGGAAUAUUGGUCAAUGGACGCAAGUCUGAACCAGCCAUGCCGCGUGCAGGAAGACGGCUCUAUGAGUUGUAAACUGCUUUUGUACGAGGGUAAACGCUCUUACGUGUAAGAGCCUGAAAGUAUCGUACGAAUAAGGAUCGGCUAACUCUGUGCCAGCAGCCGCGGUAAUACGGAGGAUCCAAGCGUUAUCCGGAUUUAUUGGGUUUAAAGGGUGCGUAGGCGGUUUGAUAAGUUAGAGGUGAAAUACCGGUGCUUAACACCGGAACUGCCUCUAAUACUGUUGAACUAGAGAGUAGUUGCGGUAGGCGGAAUGUAUGGUGUAGCGGUGAAAUGCUUAGAGAUCAUACAGAACACCGAUUGCGAAGGCAGCUUACCAAACUAUAUCUGACGUUGAGGCACGAAAGCGUGGGGAGCAAACA
rnacentral:rRNA from 1 species